UCCCUGACCUACAUACACCUGUGCAGGUGUGCUGGUAAACAUCCUCGGCGCUGCGGGAUAAUGAGGGAGGCUCCGUGGGAAGAGAACAGGACUGACCGGAAGGAAUCCUCUCCUCCUCCCACUCCCGGGAGCCGCCAGCAGCUGCUCCCACCACUCCAGCCCUCACCUGCUGCAGGUUCUGCUCCUCUCCGGGACAGGAGCCAUGUCAAAGCUCAUCAAAGCCAUCACAGACAUGCUGCAGAAUCCCCAGGGCAGCACCAGGAAGGGCAGGAAACCGGAGCCCUUCAGCAGGAGCGAGUUCAAGAAGCUGAUCCAGCAGGAAUUCGCUCCGGUGAAGGUAACAGCAGGGCCUGGAGGGGGUUGAGGAGGCUGGGAAAGGUUCUGGGGGGUCUGGGGUGACUCACCCCAUCCAUGCUGGGAUUGUCUCUCCCUAUAGGUUCCAGGUUUCUGGGGCCAGAAUCCCUGCGGUUUUGGGGCAGGAAUUCCCAGGGUUUGGGUCUUAAAAUUCCAAGGAUUUGGGGCUGAAAUUCCCUGAGAUUUGGGGCUGAAAUUCCCUUGAUCUUGGGGCUGAAAUUCCCAGAUUUUUCAGGCUGAAAUUCUGAGAGUUCUAAGCUUUGUUUUCCCAGGUUUUUGGGGCUAGAAUUCUCAGGCUUCAGAGCUGAGUAUUCCAGGAUUUUGAGGCCAUUUAUUGGAAGGGGAUUUUCCUGCUGGUGUGAGUGGGAUUUUUGGGAUUAUUGGAAGGGGAUGUUUGGGGUUAUUGAAAGAGGAUUUUCCCGACUUCCCUCAGGUUCUGCUCCUCUCCGGGACAGGAGCCAUGUCAAAGCUCAUCAAAGCCAUCACAGACAUGCUGCAGAAUCCCCAGGGCAGCACCAGGAAGGGCAGGAAACCGGAGCCCUUCAGCAGGAGCGAGUUCAAGAAGCUGAUCCAGCAGGAAUUCGCUCCGGUGAAGAGGCCCCCGAGCAGCAAGUACAGAUCCAUCAGAGCCUCGGACCCCGACGCGGAGCCCAUGACCAAGGAGAGGGCUCCUGCCAAGCCCUGCGUGUACUGAGGGGCGUCUGCUGCUCCUGGCACCUGCAGGGAGCAGGAUCCCGGGAUCACUCCGUGGGCAUCAGCAGUGCUGGGAUCUCCUUCCAGCCUUCCCCUGCUCCUGUCACAUCCUGGGAGAAGCGAAGAUCCCGCCCAGCUCCACUGAUUUACCUCCAUGAGGCAAAAAUAUCCCCAAAAAUUCGGUCCCGAUGCUCCAGCGCUGUCUCCUUGGGGUGCUUUAAAAACGCAGCUUUGAAGGUUUAGGGGGGUGGUUGGGGACAGAUUUUAAAUUUUUUUCCCCUCAUUAAAAGCAACCCUCAUUAAAUCUCAACCCCUUCACCCCAGUUAUUGAUGGGGAGAAAUGAAAAAAAAAAAUUACAUCCCUGGUUAAUAGGGCUGUGUUGAGCAGGGUAAUUAUCUUGAUCCGGCAAUAAUGAACCCAGAGUGGGGAAAAUGAAAUUUUCAUUGUCGGGAGCUCAUUUGGAGUCAAGAGCAAAAUCCCCACGGGUUUUUUGGGGGGGCUGGACACACCAAAAAUGCACCUCGGGUGCAGGCAAUCCUCCAGCUCUGGCCGAGGGGGCUCAUCCGGGGUUUUCACGGGGAUCUUUCUGUGCUGUAAAUAUCCCAAAGGCGUCUUUCCCCCGGCUUGUCUUUCCCCUUCUCACAUCAACAUUGUAAGAUCACAAAAACUCAAUAAAAACUGUCCAACCCUGGAUUUUGGGAACUUCCCGAGGCGGGAGGGUGUUGCUGUAUGAAAGGUUACGGAGCGGCGAGA
rnacentral:lncRNA from 12 species